rfam:Solenopsis invicta Si_gnG.contig92425, whole genome shotgun sequence.
CAAACGGUUCUUUUUAGAACCACUAAAUUGUUUAACGGUGGAACAUU